AGCUUUGCGCAGUGGCAGUAUCAUAACCAAUGAAGUUCAUCUGAGGUGUGAUUAUUGCUAGUUGAAAACUUUUCCCUUCAUCAGUCCCCCCAAGUAAGGGGGGAGGGAUAGCUCAGUGGUUUGA
rnacentral:snRNA from 1 species